rnacentral:tRNA from 1 species
GACAGAAUAGGACAGUUGGUAGUCUAGCAGAUUUCGGGAAUUCAGUCUGAUCGUGUCAGUGGUUCGAGUCCACUUUCUGCCCC